rnacentral:tRNA from 1 species
GGGCGGGUAGCUCAGCGGUAGAGCGCCGGCUUUACACGCCGGAUGUCGCAGGUUCGACCCCUGUCCCGCCCA